GACGAACGCUGGCGGCGUGCUUAACACAUGCAAGUCGAACGGAAAGGCCCUGCGUUUGUUGGGUUCUCGAUUGGCGAACGGGUGAGUAACACGUGUGUAACCUCCCCUUGACUUUGUGAUAACUUCAUGAGACUGGGGCUAAUACCGGGUAGGAUCUCCUGCUGCAUGGUGUGGGUUGGAAAGUGUCGGCUUUUGUGGAUGUACUGGCUGCUUAUCAGCUUGUUGGGGGGGUAGUGGCUUACCAAGGCUUUGACGGGUAGCCGGCCUGAGAGGUUGAACGGGGUCAUGGGGACUGAGAUACGGAGCAGAAUCUUACCGGAGGCAGUAGUGGGGAAUCUUGCACAAUGGGCGGAAGUCUGAUGUAGCAACGUCGCGAGCGGGAUGCCGGCCUUCGGGUUGUAAACAGAUUUCGCAUGUGACGAAGAGUGAGUGACGGUAAUGGGUAAAGAAGCACCGGCUAACUACGUG
rnacentral:rRNA from 1 species